GGUCUCAUGGUGUAAUGGUUAGCACUCUGGACUCUGAAUCCAGCGAUCCGAGUUCAAAUCUCGGCGAGACCU
rnacentral:tRNA from 1 species